rnacentral:rRNA from 1 species
UACGUAGGGUGCGAGCGUUAAUCGGAAUUACUGGGCGUAAAGCGUGCGCAGGCGGCGCGUUAAGACAGGUGUGAAAGCCCCGAGCUUAACUUGGGAAUUGCGCUUGUGACUGGCGAGCUGGAGUGUGGCAGAGGGGGGUGGAAUUCCGCGUGUAGCAGUGAAAUGCGUAGAGAUGCGGAGGAACACCGAUGGCGAAGGCAGCCCCCUGGGCUAACACUGACGCUCAGGCACGAAAGCGUGGGGAGCAAACAGG